rnacentral:lncRNA from 1 species
CACUAACUGACUUUUUAUAGGACUGGAGAGUGCAAUUGUAGAGAACCUAGAUGUAAUUCAAGGAGACCACCGUUCUGCCUUAUAACUGAAAGGUCAUUUACUAGACUUUUAUCCUGUUUUAAGGCAGCUUUUAAUUGAUAUUUGUGUCUUGUUCAAGGCCCUGUCUCUCUGCUAUGCUAUAUUAUACACAGCAAUGUGAUGGCCUCUUUGGAACAAAUAACAAUUUUGAAAUAUAUGCUUUCAAGAUAAUUGGCCUUUUUGCUUUCACUUGUGGCUCAAACAAUGUACCAACCUGACUAUUUCAAAUAACAAACAUACGCUCUGUUUAAUGGGAUGGGAGACUAAUUACCUGUGAGAAAACAGAAAUGGCAGCCAGUCAUAGAAAUCUUUUCCAUUAUUGAAAAGCAUCAUAAAAUAUUAGUCAGCUUUUAGUGUGAUGGCUCAAUAGUGGAUAAAUGGGGAUGAAUGUGCCAGAAUUGGCUCACCCUGUCAAACUAGACUGUUCAGGCACUGAAUGAGACAAGUGACUGUGGUGAGCACCUGUGGGAGGGAGGUGUUCUAGUUGCAGAGAAGGUGUGAAAUAAUUUGAACAGCAACAAGAAAAAUAAUGAGUGAGAUUGCAUUAAAUUAAAUGGCAAUACAGUGAAUAUAAAAUUCCUAUAAUAUUUUUGCCCCUCAAGCCACAAGGUAUCAGGCCACUAAAAUGAAAUGCACUUUUUUUUCCCCCCCCCACACAAGGGUAUUGUCUAAGCUAUUUGAGGGACAGUAACUUAGAUCAACAUCACAAGAUUUAAACAUCCAAUUCACUUUCAAUGCUUUUAGAUCACAGAUUCCACAGGGCACAGUUUGGGGUACGUUUUAUUGUUACCUUAACAAGUUUGGCUGUAUAUACGCUACUUGCUUACUUUGCUGUGUUUUUCUGCUACGUAUAAAAAUCAAAACUAAAUUGCUCAAUUUCAUUUCCACGUUCUCAUUUGUUAAAGUACACUCACUGUUCAAGCUGGCAAUACUUCAGACAUUAGAAAGUCACAAAACCAGAUUUGAUUACUACGCAUGCAGAGGGAAGCUGGGGACAACCUGUGGUAUUUCUUACAGCCCAGGCCCCUCCUACUUUGUACACUCUGGUCCUUUCUCAUUGCAUUACCUUUGCAGGUCCAGGAACAAGUCUGGUUUCCUAGACAGAAAGGCCCUUUGCAACGUGGUGAACUGCCCUCACAAUGCUACUAACAGUGGCAUUUACUCUUCAUGUGGAUCUCAACUCUACCAGCAGCCUAUAACACCACAGCAAGUGACCUCCAAGGGGUCUACUGAGCCUCAUUGAGCAAUGAAAACAUGAUGACCUUGAUCAAAUAUCUCAGCUGUGGUGAACAUCAAAUAACAGAAAUUGCAAAGGUUGACAAUUAUUUGAGGGACAAAAAGUCUGGAGAUUUUGUAUCAGUAGAAUUCUAACGGCUUCAACAGAAUGCUCUUGAUUUAAGUUGGAAUAAUUGAAAAAUUAAUCACAUCUACAUAUCACCAGAAGAAAGGAGAAAUAAACCAUCUUGGAAUUUGUAGUUCACUAUAAUCUGAAGUAGAGAAGUCCUUGGAGAAAUCCAGUCUAAAACAAUGCCAAACCUCAGCACCGUAUUAGGAAACAAAUAUCUUUACGCUACAGACCAGUUGUUAUUCCAGAGUUGCUUCCUGGCUGAAGCACAACAUGCUUUGUUACUCCAUGCUCACCUGUGUGUAUACAACAGGUUUGGCUACAGAUGAAUGCAUAUAAAGAGUUGGAAGAGAUCACGUUCAGUGCUUUGUCCUUCGUUCUGGUGAGGUGCACUUCUGUUUCCCUACUGAGAGCUCCUAGGCACAUGGAAGCUGUAAGGCCAACCACCUAACCAUAGGAGGGAUGGGAUCGCUGGCAAACAACACAUCCUGCUUCACCUCAAGCACCCUCCACUCUCCAGAAGGUACUUUCCUGCACAUGGCUGAGGAGCUGCUGGAAGACUGAAGGGGCACUCUCUUCAGCUGUGGGGCUGCCCCACCCCCAGUGCUGCUCUUCUGGCACCCAGCUCCUCCCAUGCUCCUUGUGCAGCUGGUGGCCCAGGAAGGAGCCAGCAUUGCCUCAAAUGGAACAGAGAGCAUCAGGCUGUUUUCUCUUUAAAAGAAGAACAAAAAAAAAAAAACAAAAAAAAAACCAAAAACUAGGCUUUCCCCUUUGUUUCUGCCUUCCUGACUCCCUGGUUCAUGUCCUUCAUUAAGGCGUCUUUCUCAGUCAAGUUCUGCAAGGGCCUUCUAGCAAAAAAGAGUAAGUAUAUACACAUGCACAUCUAUCUAUCUAUAUAUUUGCACACACACACACUCUUCUAAUAUAUACACACAUAUAAAGAAUAAUGUUUACUCUCAUGCAUAAUACAGUAACAGUGCAAGUGUGUGGAGCAUGGCUGAUUUAUGUACCUAUGCACCGGCCACUCCCUUCAGAUACAGUUGCC